rnacentral:ncRNA from 1 species
GUAGCUGAAGGUACAGUAUGAAUAAGCACCGGCUAACUCCGUGCCAGCAGCCGCGGUAAUACGGAGGGUGCAAGCGUUAUCCGGAUUUAUUGGGUUUAAAGGGUCCGUAGGCGGAUCUGUAAGUCAGUGGUGAAAUCUCACAGCUUAACUGUGAAACUGCCAUUGAUACUGCAGGUCUUGAGUAAAGUAGAAGUGGCUGGAAUAAGUAGUGUAGCGGUGAAAUGCAUAGAUAUUACUUAGAACACCAAUUGCGAAGGCAGGUCACUAUGUUUUAACUGACGCUGAUGGACGAAAGCGUGGGGAGCGAACAGGAUUAGAUACCCUGGUAGUCCACNUAGCCACCUGGGGAGUACGUUCGCAAGAAUGAAACUCAAAGGAAUUGACGGGGGCCCGCACAAGCGGUGGAUUAUGUGGUUUAAUUCGAUGAUACGCGAGGAACCUUACCAAGGCUUAAAUGGGAAUUGACAGGUUUGGAAACAGACUUUUCUUCGGACAAUUUUCAAGGUGCUGCAUGGUUGUCGUCAGCUCGUGCCGUGAGGUGUUAGGUUAAGUCCUGCAACGAGCGCAACCCCUGUCACUAGUUGCCAUCAUUCAGUUGGGGACUCUAGUGAGACUGCCUACGCAAGUAGAGAGGAAGGUGGGGAUGACGUCAAAUCAUCACGGCCCUUACGCCUUGGGCCACACACGUAAUACAAUGGCCGGUACAGAGGGCAGCUACUAUGCGAAUAGAUGCGAAUCUCGAAAGCCGGUCUCAGUUCGGAUUGGAGUCUGCAACUCGACUCUAUGAAGCUGGAAUCGCUAGUAAUCGCGCAUCAGCCAUGGCGCGGUGAAUACGUUCCCGGGCCUUGUACACACCGCCCGUCAAGCCAUGGAAGUCUGGGGUACCUGAAGUCGGUGACCGUAACAGGAGCUGCCUAGGGUAAAACAGGUAACUAGGGCUAAGUCGUAACAAGGUAGCCGUACCGGAAGGUGCGGCUGGAACAUCUCAUUU